ensembl:lncRNA
AAAUUGUCAGAAAUUGAUGUGUGCCUCCCUUGGCAGUUGUCCCCCCAUGUCCCCCCUCCUCCUAAUUCUAGGGGAGGCUUUGACAUGUAAAUGAAAAUGCUGUGAGCUAUACAAAGGCAAAUCAGGGUCGCAGAGGGAGUUUUAGCCCAGGUGACAUUUUUUUAAAAGGUAAGAAAAUCUCUGGUACAAAUAGAUCAGGCUCAGUAGCCUAAUUAUAGACUCUUACAUUUGAGCUUGAAUUGAUUUAUUUAAUUCAAAUAUGCUAGAUUACUGUGUACGCCAUUAGCAAUGGCAAAUGUUAUGUAAAAAAGAUACACAAAAUAACUUCUUUAAAAGAUGAGUUUUAAUCAAGGUAUAAUGAGCAUUUCAUGCAAACAACAUUUGAAUCAGAAUGAGGGGUCUGCAGAGAUCACAGUCUCCUAGAGCUCAACUACAGUGCAUAGUGGCAGGACUACAGUGACCUUUUCUUUGGUCUUACUUAAAUGCACAGAGGAUGUAUUAACCACACAUCUUCUAGCAAUGCGCUCAACUGGCAGAAAUGAUGCUGGGUAUGACGUAUCUGUUCCCUGCAAGCCCCAAACUUCUAUUGGCUUUCCAUAAAAAUGUCUGUCCGGGUGGGGAUGAAGCCAGGAAACUUGUGCAAGAACAUGUUUAAAUGCCGUACCCUUUGACACAACAUUAACAACUAUAAACUGCUUUAUAAUGGCUGGUCGUAGUUCUGCUAGAGGGUCAAGGACGGGCUCCUCAAAACUGUUAGUGUUUCCACACCACUUAGCAUAAAUAUACGCUGGCCUUUAUGCUCUGCAUCUAUCGAUUGAGUAAGUUACAUUCAUAUAUGUUACCCGUUUACAUGUCAUGGCAAAACAUUCAACCUCAGUGACACAAGGGUACAUCUGAUGAUACAUUGUCAACAUUGCAUGUCUGUCAGACUCAAGAUUGUCUGGUGGAAUGGAGAAAGAGGCACCACUGUACAGUUUUCUAGGGAAAGUCGUUCUGCUGACACCAAAACACUGCUUUACAUAAAGCAUAUCAGCUGUUUCAUUGCACGACAAAGUCCCAACCAAUUGUCUUCCUAAAAUACUGGUCCUUCCGUAUAACAAUAACCUCGUAUGUGAUUGGAGGACCCUUAGACUCCUCGUCCAAUCACGUGUGAGGUCAUAGGCAUGACUCAGACAGCAGUACUUGCAAGACGAGCAUACAAACAGACACGUGUGUUACUAUAUUCAGAAGAACUGUAUCUCCAGUUCCUUUGUUUGGUUUUUGCUGCUUCGUGAAUAAUGGCGGGACGACGUCUCGCGUUCAACUCGCCUUCAACUCCUCUCCGCGGUCACCAACUUUCGGCCAGUCCGCAGACAGACGAGAAGAAGCUGCUGAAAGCUCUCAGUGGAUCGUCUCGUCAUUUCCAACAACAAACUGCCGAUAUCAACGAGCGGUUCGCUCCACUGGAGCGUUCGGGACUCUGCGGGUUUCUGUCCAUGGAGGAGAGGAACCGACUCAAAGAAGAGGAGACGGGAGCAUAAUCCCAAGAUAGCGGAAGCGGUGCGCCGUCUUCACAACUCCGAGACGAAUUACAGGCGCUACGAACCGUAGCAAGGACUAAUCUCGCCUCAUAAUGAGGCGGUGACCUCGUAUUUGCUCCGGGAAAAGUCCAGAUUUAGACGACGUCAUUGUGUCUCCCUGUGAGACGUAUUGUGAGACGGGACGCAGGAGCUUCAGGUUUAGCCGGAACACUCAAUGCGGGCGGAAGCUGCGAAGGAUUCAGCGCGGAGUCGAGCGAGAAGAAAGACGCUGCUGGAAUCGAGACAAAGUGUGCUGGCGGAUGACGAGGUGAAACUCUGGAAAUCCGCCACCGUAGAGCUCACGUCGGACGGAGGGGACGGCGUUGUUGGCGGGGUCUCGGGUGGAUUGUACGGUCGCCACACGCACACGAGCCGCCUGCACAACAGACCUGCCUCGGAAAACACGGCGCCAGUGACGGUCUACAACCCCGAGGAGGCAAACGGACAGUUUACUGAGCUGUAGUUUUUAAACCGCCGUUACCCAAGUGUGGGCAGAUCCUCACUUUGUAUGUAGUUGUUGUUUGUGUGUUGUUAAUAAAGCUCUUUCUUUGCAUAAACAUGUGGCAAAUGUUCAUUUUCUCUAUAAAUUCAUUGAUGUCCUGGUUGGUAUCCUAAUAAUAGUGUAGUAGCCUGCAUAUGAUAACAAU